CUGCAGCUCAAGUGGUGACCACUAUUAUUGGGCCUAAAACGUUCGUAGCCGGUUUGGUAAAUGCCUGGGUAAAUCGUGUAGCUUAACUAUACGAAUUCCGGGUAGACUGCCAAACUUGAGACCGGGAGAAGCUAGAGGUACUCCUGGGGUAGAGGUGAAAUUCCGUAAUCCUGGGGGGACCACCAGUGGCGAAGGCGUCUAGCUAGAACGGGUCUGACGGUGAGGAACGAAGCCCUGGGGCGCAAACCGGAUUAGAUACCCGAGUAGUCC
rnacentral:rRNA from 1 species